rnacentral:misc_RNA from 1 species
CAAAGUUUUUGAUUCAAGCUUUCGAGCUUGGGUCUUCAACCCCUUGUGCAUUUGUUAUUUGAAAUCUGGGUGUUCUUUGUUUCGUUUUAAUCUUUCUUUUGAGAGGUUUUUCGAAAAACCACCCAAAAUCUUAUAAACUCUUGAUAAAUUGUCUGAUAUUAUGAAAAUAAUUAUAAA